CCUACGGGAGGCUGCAGUGAGGAAUAUUGGUCAAUGGGCGAGAGCCUGAAGCAGCCAAGUCGCGUGAAGGAUGAAGGCUCUAUGGUUUGUAAACUUCUUUUAUAUGGGAAUAAAGUGAUGAACUUGUUCCUUUGUGUAUUUACCAUAUGAAUAAGCAUCGGCUAACUCCGGGCCAGCAGCCGCGUUAAUACGGAGGGUGCGAGCGUUAUCCGGAUUUAUUGGGUUUAAAGGGUGCGGAGGUGGGUAAUUAAGUCAGCGGUGAAAGUUUGUGGCUCAACCAUACAAUUGCCUUUGAAACUGGUUGACUUGAGUAUAUUUGAGGUAGGCGGAAUGCGUGGUGUAGCGGUGAAAUGCAUAGAUAUCACGCAGAACUCCGAUUGCGAAGGCAGCUUACUAAACUAUAACUGACACUGAAGUACGAAAGCGUGGGGAUCAAACAGGAUUAGAUACCCUAGUAGUC
rnacentral:rRNA from 1 species